AGGGGGGAGGGUCGUGAAAAUAUUUAACUGUGGAGAGGUACAUUUUGAUCUGUCCCUAAUUAUAUACCGUUUAUUAUUCACAAAUGAACAUUUAGAAAUUGGAAAGCAAAGUGUAUCGAUACAUACUCUACUGUAAUUACUGGAAAAACAAACAGACGUUGAUUUUGUAAGUUAAUGGAAAGGUUGUUUUGGCUGAAUUUAUUCAAAUAUACAUUUAAAUUGCAAGUUCAUGUGCUUUUAAUAAUCUCCUAUGAACAUCUUCACAUAGACAGGGCAAUAAAAAGAUACUGGCAACAAUAAGCACAAUGGACAAUACAAUUACAUGCAGGGGCAAACUGGGACCAGAAACCGGCCCAGGCAUUUCGAACACACCUGCCCAUGUUUUUCUUUAAGACCCUCUUUACUAGGCAAAUUAUUAUUAUUUUGCUAAAAAAAUAAUACCAUUUAGACAGGCCCACUGGGCUAAAGAUGAAUCGGUCCAUCUGGCAUUUGCCAGAAUUGCCCAUUUGCCAGUCCGUUCUUGAGCACAUGGAAGAAUCAACACCCAUGCAGGACAUCCUCCUUGGGCCGCUUCCGUUAAAUCUGUUUCUCUGAGGAGCCCUGCAUGUGAAACACAGACACAGAGAUUAAAGACAGCAUGGUGUCUGUAUGGAAACACAGAGAUACAGGAUAAAGACAGUAUGGUGUCUGUAUGGAAACACAGAGAUACAGGAUAAAGACAGUAUGGUGUCUGUAUGGGGAUAAAGACAGUAUGGUGUCUGUAUGGGAACACAGAGAUACGGAUAGACAGUAUGGUGUCUGUAUGGGGAACACAGAGAUACAGGAUAAAGACAGUAUGGUGCCUGUAUGGGGAACACAAGAGAUACCGGAUAAAGACAGUAUGGUGUCUGUAUGGGGAACACAGAGAUACAGGAUAAAGACAGUAUGGUGGCCUGUAUGGGGAACACCAGAUAUAGACAGGAUAAUAAGACAGUUAUGGUGUCUGUAUGGGAACACAGGAGAUACAGGAUUAAAGACAGUAUGGUGUCUGUAUGGGGAACACAGAGAUACAGGAUAA
rnacentral:lncRNA from 1 species